AGAUUGAACGCUGGCGGAGUGCUUAACACAUGCAAGUCGAGCGGUAACGCGGGAGCAAUCCUGGCGACGAGCGGCGAACGGGUGAGUAAUGCUUGGGAAUCUGCCCAUUAGUGGGGAACAACCAGCCGAAAGGUUGGCUAAUACCGCAUACGCCCUACGGGGGAAAGCGGGGGAUCGUAAGACCUCGCGCUAAUGGAUGAGCCCAAGUCGGAUUAGCUUGUUGGUAGGGUAACGGCCUACCAAGGCGACAAUCCGUAGCUGGUCUGAGAGGACGACCAGCCACACUGGGACUGAGACACGGCCCAGACUCCUACGGGAGGCAGCAGUGGGGAAUAUUGGACAAUGGGGGCAACCCUGAUCCAGCGACGCCGCGUGUGUGAAGAAGGCCUGCGGGUUGUAAAGCACUUUUAGUGGGAUGAAAAGCUCAGGUUAACACCUCUGGUCUUGACCUAACCACAGAAAAGCACCGGCUAACUCUGUGCCAGCAGCCGC
rnacentral:rRNA from 1 species